rnacentral:rRNA from 1 species
UUUUGUGGCUAAACCUCCUUGUCAAAGUCUGAUCCUGUUAGAUCUCAGAAGUUAAGCAGGGCUGGGCCUGACUAGUACUUGGAUGGGAGACCACUGGGAGCACCAGGUGGCACUGGGG